rnacentral:misc_RNA from 1 species
UCCGGUUUAACACCGGCAGUCUCCUCAGAGUCCCCAACUUAAUGAUGGUAACUAAGGACAAGGGUUGCGCUCGUUAUCGGACUUAACCGGACAUCUUACGACACGAGCUGACGACAGCCAUGCAGCACCUAUCUCCACGUCCCCGAAAGGAACACUACAUCUCUGCAGCUGUCGUGGGAUGUUAAGGGUAGGUAAGGUUCUGCGCGUUGCUUCGAAUUAAACCACAUACUCCACCGCUUGUGCGGGCCCCCGUCAAUUCCUUUGAGUUUUAGCCUUGCGACCGUACUCCCCAGGCGGGAUACUUAAUGCGUUAGCUUUGGUACUCAGGAGGUUAACUUCCCGAACACCUAGUAUCCAUAGUUUACGGCGUGGACUAC